AUGUCCUGUGGGGUUUUGGGGUGCGGUGGGAAUUCUGAGCGGUUUGGGAAUGAGGAAUUCCCUGCUGUGCCAGAGCUUUGGGAAGCAGCUUCUGUUCCUGUGGAAUUUCAGAGGAGUUGUGACUCUGGGAUCCUGCUCUUCCCAGUGUUUUGCCAGGGAAGAGGCUCUGGGUGUGCUUCAGAAACACUGGAAGGUUGUGGCUCAGGGAUCCGGCUCUUCCUGGUGUUUUUACUGCUGUUUUUUCUGGUUGUGUUUUGGGAAUGUCAGAGGGGCUGUUCUCUGGCAAUAUUGGAAGAGUUGUGGUUCAGGGGUCCAGCUAUUCCCAGUGUUUUUCUGGGGAAGAGGCUCUGGUUGUGUUUUGGGGAUUUCAGAGGGGCUGUGGCUCAGGGAUCCAGCUGUUCCCUGUUUUUCCAGGCCCCUGAUCUCCUACAUCCGCAAGUUCUACUACUACGACCCGCAGGAGGAGCAGUACCUGUCCCUCAAGGAGGCGCAGCUCAUCUCCCGACAGAAGCAGGAGCCCGAGUCCUCCACGUAGCGGGGCGGAGCCGCCCGGCACUGACGGAAUUUGGAUGGUGCCCUCCUGCCAUGGUGGGGGGAGGCCGAGCUCCUGCUGCUGCUGCUCCUGCUCUUUUCCUGGAGGAGAGGGCCCAGCAUUCCUGGGAAGCCAGCAGAGCAGGAUCUGGAGCCCCGGCUCCUGGGAAAAGGAAUCCUGGGGGAACCCAGCCCGGCCCCGCGGAUCCCCGCGGAACAAAGAAUGUCAUGGCACUAUUCCCGAGUUUUCCUGGAAGAUUUCAGUUUGGAUGUCUCUGGAUUUUUAAUUUUUUUUUUUUUUGGAUCUUCAGCAUGAGGAAAAACUGGAUUUUCUGAUCCCGCUGGAUUUUCAGAUCCCACCUUGGGAAUUUCCAGGUGGGGGAGAGGGAGGAGAAAAGGGGGAAUUCUCUGGGAAGAUCCAUCUGCUCCCAGGCAUCGUGGCAAGGCUUUGAUCCUCUCUGGAGAGCUGCAAACGGAGCCAGGGGCUGGAAGAACCCCUGGGAAUAAACAAAGUGUGGAGUUCCGAGCA
rnacentral:lncRNA from 1 species